rnacentral:rRNA from 1 species
CACGUAGGCGGCUAUGUAAGUGUGAAGUGAAAUCCCACGGCUCACCCGUGGACGUGCUUUGCAAACUGCAUGGCUCGAGGAUGGUAGGGGAGAGCAGAACUCCUGGUGGAGCGGUGAGAUGCGUAGAUAUCAGGAGGAAUACCGGUGGCGAAGGCGGCUCUCUGGUCCAUUUCUGACGCUGAGGUGCGAAAGCUAGGGUAGCGAAC